rnacentral:piRNA from 1 species
AUAGAAGAGGACUGUUCUAAGUGUAGACCC